GGGGACAACAUGAAGCAGGUGCCACUUAUGUACGUGCUGAUGUCAAGACGCCGAAAGCAGGACUAUGUUGCUAUCCUGCAGAAGGUUCUUGACAUUCUGGAAGAGGCUCCAGCAGUAGAGUGCUUCACCAUGGACUUUGAGAUAGCUCUGUGGCAGGCCCUGAGGGAGGUGUUCCCCAGUAGUAAGCUUAAGGGUUGUGCAUUCCACUGGUCACAGGCUGUACAGAAGCAUGUCGGAGAGUUUGGUCUCGCCAGAACAUACAGAGAACGCCAGUCAGUACACAGUCUGAUACGCAAGUUUUAGCACUGCCAUUCCUCCCUGCAGCAGACAUUAAACGGGCCUUCAGGAAAUUACAAGAGCAGGCGGAAGACAGUUCUGAACAAGUCCAGGACCUCUUCACUUAUGUAAGCGACGAGUGGCUUGAAAGCUCUAAAUGGUCUGAAGAUGAGUGAUCUGUGUACCGUCAGACCAUCCGUACCAACAAUGACACAGAGGGGUGGCACCGAAAACUGAACACAAAGGCCGGCAGAGGGAAGGUCAAGACCUACCGCCUUCUGGAGAUCCUCCUUGUAGAAUCUAAGUUGGUGAAUCUAGAAGUGACCAGACUUCUUGAAGGAAGUACAUCCGUCGAUGUCGUCUCAGUGACGAAUGGUUGUUUGAUUUAUGGGAUCAGUAUGAUAACCAUGACAUUGUGUGUGAAGAAUUCCUUGGAAAUGUGGGAACGUAUUAGGACAGUUUUAGGUGAUAAGGAGAUGUAUUG